AUUGAACGCUGGCGGCAGGCCUAACACAUGCCACUCGAGCGGAGCGGCGGACGGGUGAGUAAUGCCUAGGAAUCUGCAUGGACAUGGGGGAAAACGUUCGGAAACGGGCGCUAAUACCGCAUACUCACAGAUUAGCCUCGGUCGGAUUAGCUAGUUGGUGGGGUAAAGGCAUACCAAGGCGACGAUCCGUAACUGGUCUGAGAGGAUGAUCAGUCACACUGGAACUGAGACACGGUCCAGACUCCUACGGGAGGCAGCAGUGGGGAAUAUUGGACAAUGGGCGAAAGCCUUAUCCAGCCAUGCCGCGUGUGUGAAGAAGGUCUUCGGAUUGUAAAGCACUUUAAGUUGGGAGGCGUUACCAACAGAAUAAGCACCGGCUAACUUCGUGCCAGCAGCCGCGGUAAUAC
rnacentral:rRNA from 1 species